rnacentral:ncRNA from 1 species
AGUAUUUCUUAUAGAAAGUACUGUAACGAUCAUAUCAUUAUCCGGUACCGGACCCACCCAUUCAUUUUUUACGUUCACAAACACUUGGAAGUUUAAAGUGAUUCUAAUAUGUAAAUCGAUCGUCUGAUUUUGAUAUAAGGGGCGAAAGACUAAUCGAACAACUAUCUAGUAGUUGGUUCCCUUUGAAGGUUUUCCUCAAGAUAGUUGGAGUACAUAAUGAAGUAGUUAUAUUUGGUAAAGCGAAUGAUUAGAGGAAUUGUGGGACGAAACAUCUUUCACCUGUUCUCAGAGUAUGACUGACGUGUCUUGCUUGUUUAAAUGACGCGUAGACAUACAUUGAAUGUGUACUUCAAGUGGGCCAUUUUUGUAAGUAGAACUGGCACUAUGGGAUGAAAAUAAACGUUGAUCGAUGUGAUUUGCCUCUUUUUCCGCCUCUAUACGAAUAUUGGAGCGCACAUCGAAUACAGCUGUUAUACCUGUCUUCCUUUAUCAGCUGGAUAGAU